CCGAGGUUUGUAAUUCGUCUUUAUUGUUUAAAUUCACCAAAAAAUUUUUUCUGCAUAACUACAUCCAACAGCAUUCGUAUUUUGUCGUCACUGCGACUUCGACACCCGAGUGACAACAGUGUGACAUCAUCAGCGCCGCCACGACGUCACAGCAGCAUCGUGACGCGGCUCAAACGGCGGGAAAAAAAAACUCUGACAGUCGUCCGUCUCCGAGUCCGUUGCCGGUGAAAGCGUCUCGCCGCUACUCGUGUAAAGCACAAACAUUGCACAUCAACUUACAGCAUCGAGUCCGAAACCCUCCCGACCCUCUGAACAAGUCAAACUAAAGGUGAGUGGAGGCGAUUUUAUCUUCAUGAGUCUGUACAGUGAGUUAAAACAGGAUGAAACAUGAUUCAAAAACACAAACCUCAUACCUUCACUUGUUUUCCCUAAAGAUUCACAUCUAAUAUUUAUUAUUUAGAGAAGAAGGGGAUCUCAAAUAAACACCUGAACUGGAAAAAGACCUUAUUUAGUUUCACUUUAAGCUGCGCUGCAGCUAAAAUUUUACAUUUUCUGAGGUCAGAAGUCCAUUUAUUGAACCAGUCAGAAAAUGUGGGAAAAAAGAACAUUUUCAAAGUUAAUUUGACAAUUAAAACAUGUUUUCUGUCAAAACUCUCACCUAAAACUGUCAAAUUUUAGUUUUUCGACUCAAAAAAGAUCCAAAUCUGGCCAAAACACAUCAUUUUAUGUCUUAUUCUAUAAUGUAAACUCCUCAGUUACCAUCACUAGUAGCUACAAUCUUGUACUAAGGAUGCAAAAGUAUUUUAAAACUCCAAUUUAUUGGGAGAAAAAAGUUCAUAGAAGUGAAGCAGCAGCUAAGAUUUUCAUAAAUCUGAGGUCAGGAACCCAACUUUUGACCCACAACAGCUUGAAAAUGUUUCUUUCACCACAUUUCCUAUGUUAUUUCCACAUUCGAAACAUAUUUUUUUUAUAAAUCUAAAUGGUCAAAAUGCUGAAUGAAUCAUCAAUGUUAGAGGUCAAGAGAACAACUUUUGACCAAAGACAGCCUGAAAAUCAAUUUUUUUUCCACAUUUACUACGUUAAUUCUGCAAUUAAAACAUCUUUUCUGCAAAUCUCUCCUCUUCUAAAAGUGGUUUAAUGGGUGAAAAUGCAGUUUUAAAGCUGCCAGACUUGAUUUUUGGGCCUUAAACUGUCAAAUUUAAGCAUUUCGACUCAAAAAACAUUCAAAUCUGGCUAUAAAUCAUCAUUUUUGUCUCACUUUGUGACUUAUUUUAUGAUAUAAACGCUUCCUCUGAUCAGUUAUUAUCACCGGUAGCUACAAAAACUUCUUUUUUUAAAUGACAAUUUUGCAUUUCCAGUUCCAGGCUUUACAUAUUUCUACAACGUUUUGCAGAUUCAUGGGGUAAAACAGCAGUUGUGCAUCGAUUCCUCCAAACUUUGGGCUUUUUUUUUUUUUUUUUUAAUAUAAAAGUGCUCGUUUCAUGUUCAACUAAAUCUAUCUCAUCUAUUUUCACAUGUAUUUAUAUUUAUACCAUCUCUAUCUUUUCUAAUAUACUCUCAUUUGGCAUCAUUUUGAAACAACGCUGCAUGUCUUUCUGUCCACUUGGUGAAGGUAAGUUAUGGCUAUUUCCUCCUUUAGUACCAUCUAAGCGAUGAGGAGUUUUACAUACAGCGUGCUCCCACAAAUCCAGUCCUCCUCAGUAAAAAUGAGGCUCGAUAUACUUAAAAACCAUCACAUUCUCCAAAAGAAAUUGCAUUAUUCUCCAACUAUUAUGGCUAUUAGCUUUGCUCCAAACAUAAAUGAUGACAUUAGCUCGCUUCAACCUCUCAACCUGCUUCCUUUUUGGUGAUGGAUCGUGUUCGAAAUGUUGGGAAAAGUUACAAAAAUGGAGACAGAAUAAAGGAAGAUGGCAUCAGAACAAUGUCAAGCAAAGUUUCCCUCCCGCGCUAGCUUGCAUAAAUCUCUUCGUUAGAUCAUCUGCUAUGUACAGGAAUACAUUUAAUCAUUACAUAUACAGCCCUCACACUACACCGCAAUCCAACAUCGACCCGGCGGUUCCCCAAGAAAGACCAAAAAAUAACCCCAAAAAAAGUUCCUUAUACAGUAGAAUACAGUAGACACCUUUCAAGUAAAAGAACUGUUUUUUUAAGAGUUCACAGAAUCAUAGACUCGAGUCAAACCGGAGCUGAAAUCUCUUCGAAUGCAGCUUCUUUUUUUUUUUUUUUUUUUUUUUUUAAAGUCUGCAAAGCUACAAAUCACAGAACUGCAGGAUUUUGUCGGGUUUGACUCGAGUCUGCAGACAGAAACUUUAAUAAUCAGAUGAUGGACGGAACGUAGCGACUAAUCCUUUGUUUUUCGAGUCCGAUGAAGGAAAAAAGAUAAAAACGAAGAGUAGUUCUUUUUAAAAAGUACAGAAAUGCCAUCAACCACAGACAACUAAAGCCGCCGACUUCUCAGCCCUCCGAGAUAUUUUUUGCCUCAAAAUCAGGUGAAUGAAAGAACACUCACUGGUUUUCUUUUUUUUUGUACAAUAAUCCCAUUGAUAAUAAUAAUCAAUGCACAAAAGUAAAAGACAAAAGCACACAAAUAUCCAAAAACUGAAAUUGUAGACAGCUCAAGACGAGAGAUUUUUUUUUCCUUUUUCCUCAGAUUAUACUACUCGAGUAGUUUUAAAAUACACAUAUUAACCAGCCGUAGAAGGUUUACAUACUGUAGGAAUUUGGAUUCGUCAAUAAAAAGCACAGUUUCGAGACAGUCCGAGCAUUUUCCCAGCUUCGUGGUGGGGAAGAGAGUCCAGGACGGCUCAGCUCGGCUCGGCCCGGUUCGGUCCAGUUAUCACCGCUGUAACGGAGCAGCGCUGGCAGCCAUCGAGUGCUGGGUCAGAUGGCAGUUACUGUACGAUCAAUCAAUCAAUCAAUCAAUCAAUCGAUCAAUGGCUGGCAGAGUCGCUCAGCGCUGCGUUCUGUUCAGCUCAGCUCAGUUCAGCAGUGUCUCGGGCCUCCGCAGGACUCUGCAGAACCCGGUAGGUGGAGGCCGAGGGGCUCAGAAUACAGAAAGAUAAGAUGGGAUUAUGGCUGAAGGAGGUCCAGGAGGAACUGUGGGACGCUGGAGGGGAUUAGGAUGGAAGGACGAAGCCCAGGAGGGAAGAUGGAGCUCUGGAGAGAUUUCAGGGAGUUGGGGGUCCUCAAAGGUCCAAAGAGGCACC
ensembl:lncRNA